UCAUGCGCAUAUUGCUAAUUGGCAUAGAGAGAAGGCCUUGGAACAUGCAAUUUCUCCUUACCACUAAUUGGCAUAUUGCUGAUCUUGACAAAAUCAGAAGAUCAAUAUACAGUUACGUAGCUUUCUUGGAGCCGAAUCAUUCCUUAAGUUCAUCAAGAAGAGCAAUUUACCAACUUGUAUUUGAAGGAUCUUUGGAUCAGAACCAAAACAAACUUAUAGUUGGAUUUAUUCCUCUGCUGCUGUCAUAGAUGUAUCUUCGUCACUAAUUUCAACAUAAGGGAUGUCAGCUAUCCUGCACCGCUCUUCUCCCUGAUCUUUCUUGCAGCGUUCUUCCAGCAGAAGACAUUGAAUGGUUUCAAGUUUCUGGACCGAGGGAGGUAGGCCAUUCUUUGGGAAGGACUUCAACCUUUGGCAAUUAGAGAUAUGAAGCUCUAGGAGUGACGGAGGCAGUCCAUCCUCCGAAAAACAUGUGAGCUUCUCGAAGUUAUAGACCUACAGUGUUUCAAGACGGUCGAGUUUUCUUAAGCCCUUGGAAGACGGGCUUCCUAGAUUCGAGAGGUCUGAGAUGCAGAGGCUUGUUCGAGAGGUGGGCAACGCCAUCUCUGGAAAAUACACCAGAUUAUGACAUCCACCAAUAUGAAGUUGCUUAAGAAAAGCGAGGUUGUUCUGCGCCCAAAUGAACAAGGCAUCAGGGAUUUCAAGAUGAGAGAUGCCAAGUGUAGUUAUGUUUACGGGAAAACCUUCUACUGGAAAUGGUUGAAUGCUCGGACAAUUCCUUACUGCCUAACUUUGAAGAGAGGUGACGUUUUGUAUACAGCGAGGCAGUGGCUUUAUUUUCUCACAAUGGAGUAUUCAAAGUUGUCUCAGGUUGGUAGGGAGCAAGUCACAUUCAUUCAAUAAUUUGAGAUUUUCACAUUUAGAGAUGGUGAUAUUUUCAAGAGACGAGUUAUCAAGAAAAUUCUUAGCUACUGACUCCAGCUUUGGACAAUUGACAAUACUGAGUUCCCGAAGUGUCGCAGGUAAUUCUCCGUUUGAUAUUAAAGAUUCUAGGGAUGGACAAACCUUAAUGUCCAACUCCUCAAAGAAGAGAUGGGAUGGUACUGCAGUUGUUCAUGGUAUCAUCAUCAUCAUCCUCCGCCAAUUUUGGCAUAUUCUUGCACCCUUUUAUUUCAAGCCUCUUUAAAGUUGGAGGCAGCUCAUGGCCUCUUGCAAAAUGCUUUAGCGAAUCACAUUCAUAAAUACGAAUAAAUGCAAGCCAAGGGCUGUUGUAUAUCAUUGCCUUUGGUAAGGAUUCCAAGGCUUUGCAUUUCUGGAUCCAGAUUGUUUUGAGUGUGGAUGGCAUACCCAGUUGGAGCCCCUCUUCUACCUAAUCUUCUGCCACCAAAUAUAUAUAUGAGUUUCUCACAAUUCCGUAUGUCCAAAUAUUCUAACUUUGUUAGCCCCUCCACAUCAAAUCCUUCUAUUCUACAUUAAGUGAGUUCUGAGAUUGUUUGAACAGAAUCAAAUCUUAUUGACUUGAAUGUAACCUUACUUCUGCACACCACCCCUUCGAAUAUUCUAUCAAUUACUAUUUUGCCUU